rnacentral:lncRNA from 1 species
ACGCUAGUACCUUGCCCCAAAACCCUAGUCCCCAGAGGCCCCAUCGCCUAAGUGUCGGAGUGUCUGGAAACGCUACAACCUGUAGCAGCUCGGAUUCGAUGCGUGCUGUUUCUCUGCAGGGCAACAUUAUGAAGACGGCAACUGCAACUCUCCAACAACAACAAAGGUAUGUUUUCCUAUUCCUCUUAGUAGAUCAGAUCUACUCGUCAUCAAGAUUUUACUUUCAGUUACAGAUUGGUUUUCUAAGGACUUAGGAAUCGAUCCUAGACAGUAUAGAUUCUAACAGUAUCAAGUCUACGUACGUCAUGGCUGAGAACUAAUAAAACCAUUCUUUUAUAGAAAAAAGGGAACAACCACUAGUAGCUAGUGGUGGUUGCUUAGAAUAUUCCACGCGUGCUAGCAGAAAACUAAUGGUGUGUUUGGUUUAUGUAGUCAUUCAAUGCAUCAUAAAUUUAUUCCAUCAAUUUUGGUGAAAUCAACCAACUCCCCAUGUAUACACUAAUUAUUAGCUUAUGAGGAAUGAGGUGGUGAUGGAUCAACUCAUUCUAUUCAACAAACCAAAUAAAAAUGGGAGGAGUGAGAAAAAGAUGGAUCACUUCAUUCCUCAAACCAAACACGCCCUAAAACACCCUAAGGGCGCGUUCGUUUUCAGCUGAUCAGCCCAUUCCAGGCCUUAUCCGGGUGGAACCAAUGGGCCUGGUUUAGAAUUUGGUAUAACUCUUUGAAACCGUUCGUUUUGGCCCGAAUUGAAAUCGAAACUGGCCCGAAUUGAAAUUUCCCUUCACUCCACAACCCGGAACCAACCCCUGUGUCGUAGCCUCCGGAUCGAAGCCUGGACGACGCGACCAACGCGGCGGACGCGACCGGCGCGACGGCGGCUUUGACGCGACCGGCACGGCGGCGGCGCACAACCCUGACGACGACCCUCCCCGCUGCCUUCUCCCCGGUGAGGAUCUAGAUAUGCUCUCUUCUUACCCUCGAUCUCGAUCUCGCUCCUCGACACUGCGACUCCGCUCCUGUCCUCGUUGGGGUCAUCACAAGUUGCCUGGCCGCCGGCCCCGUUGACGGCAGCGGCUGCCCCUGCCGUCGUUGCGUCGUUGUUGGCCGGCUGCUCGGCAGGAUCUGUUGGUUCGUGCGCCCUCUCACUCUCGCGCGCGAUCUGCUGGUCCGUGCAUGUUACUGUGUGUUACUGCUUGUUACUAUCGCUCUGCAAGAACUGCGUGCUAUUGCUUGCUGCUAGCUAGUAUCAUUGCCCAGCCUCUCAAGUUCUUGUUCAGAAACCUUCACUUCUGCUUGUAUAUAUCAAGUCCCUGCGAAUGUUUUUGAAUUGAUUGCCUGCCUGAAACGACUGAAUUCGGACAUGCAUGACACUUCUGUUUAAUAUUGCAUCCUGAGCUGAAUGUUCUAUAUAUCUGUUUCAUUAUUUGGUUACAUUCAGAUAAAAAGAAGCAAGGCUAGCUCUGUGCCUGUCUCUAGCAUUCGAAUUCCGAUUUGGGCAUCUAGAAAAUUCGAUUCCCGCUGAAUUUAUCGCAAAUUAUAGAUUUCGAUGAAACUAAAUCUUGCACUUAAUUAUCACCAUGCAUGCAAUGGAUCAGGGUCUUAUCUUGCUCUUACGUACUUUGGGUAUAAAUUUCAGUUCCAGACUAUGUUUGUUUUCCAGUUUGAAAUGAACAGGCGAGUAGAAUUGCAUGGCCUCAAUAUAUCCUGUAUCUUUCAGUACAUGAGUUGGCAGCAAAUCUUGUGUUCAAACUGAAAGGAGAUGUGUUCCAUUACGCUGAUUUUAGCAUAUAGUUUUGUGAACGUAGGGUGGGUGUCUGGUCACCGGAAUUCCUUGCAGAAUGACAUGAAAACUAGAUUCAUUUGUCCUGCGUAGAUUUAUUUAUCCCGAUUCAUUUGUGUGCCUAGAUUCAUGUGUUUUCUUCAAGAAUUUAGUAUAUACUUUAUGAUCAUGUAUGCCAGCUAUUUAUUUGAGCUGUUACAUAUAGAUCCCUACAACACCAAUUAUAGUUGGGGAAGGUGAACCUCCUCCCUCUUGGGAUCCGGUACCAACUCCAAAAGGUAUUAAAUUCUUUGUACGUAUAUAUGGUUUACUUUAGUCCUUGUUACUUGUACUUUUGAAGCGAUACAUGAUUUGCUUUAAUUCUAUUUUAUUAUUUAACUUCUACCUGACAAUACAUCUAUAUUAUUUAGUUCUACAAUGAGUAUCUCAUUGCGGGAUCGUAUUAGAAAGAGGAGGGAAGAAGAAGAUGAUGACAUGAUGAUAUUUAUUUUCCCCGCCUUAUAUCUAAUGGGUUCUACUAGAGGUGGGGGACAAAAGAAGAAACGUCAUACCUCAAAUGAGACAGGCGAGGUUAAGGUUCGUCGACUCCUCGAGGGACAUGUCAAGAACUGUCAAGUUACAUUUCGGAUGGAACCACAUAUCUUCAGAGAGCUUGCAACUUAUCUUAGAAGGAGAAGGAUCAUUGUUGAUACAAGGAUCACGGUCGAGGAGAAGUUGGGGUUCUUCUUAUACAUGCUAAGUCGCAACGCCUCAUAUCAGGAUCUCCAAGUGUAUUUUGGGCACAGUAAUGACACCUUCCAUCAUCACAUCAACCACUUCUUCAAUAAGGUCAUUCCUGUCCUAUCUCGUCGCUUCAUUCAGCCUCCUGAUCCUAAUCAAGUGCAUCAAAAAAUCCAAGAUAAUCCUAGAUUCUAUCCAUUCUUUAAGAAUUGUCUUGGUGCCAUUGAUGGAACUCACAUUCCUAUUUCCAUAUCUCCCGAUAAACAUUCUCCUUUUCGAAAUCGGAAAGGAACACUAAGCAUAAAUGUGAUGGUGGCAUGUGAUUUCGAUCUCAAUAUCACUUUUGUUUCUAGUGGAUGGGAGGGAUCGGCCACAGAUUCUAGAGUGCUAAGAUCAGCUAUGAGCAAGGGUUUCCAGGUACCUCCAGGAAAAUUCUAUCUAGUUGAUGGAGGGUAUGCAAAUACUCCAUCUUUUCUUGCUCCAUACCGAGGAGCUCGGUACCACUUGAAGGAAUUUGGGGCUAGACAUCGAAGACCACAGAACCCGAAGGAGCUCUUCAACCAUCGCCACGCACUUCUGAGGAACCAUGUGGAAAGGGCUUUGGGGGUGCUUAAAAAGCGCUUCCCCAUUCUCAAAGUUGCCACGUUCCACACACUGGAAAACCAAGUAAAGAUACCUAUAGCUGCUGCCAUCUUCCAUAAUCUAAUUCGAUCACUUCAUGGUGAUGAAGAUUGGUUAGAUCAUCAGCCAGAUAAUAUUGAUCCAUCAAACUUUGUUGCUCUACCAAGUGGUGAUCAAAUGAGUGACCCAGGCACUACACAAGGCAAUGCUUUAAGAGAUACCAUCGCCCAAGAAAUGUGGGCUCAAUACCAACAACAUCUAAAUUAGUAUUUUCGUGGUUGAAUAAGUUGUAAUAAUUUAAAUUAGUAGUAUUGUAAAAUGUAAUACGUUUUUUCUUUAAAAAGCUAUGGUUGGAAAAGGCUCCCCAAGGUUCAACAUAGGUGGUUCCCCAAAGUUGCGUAGGUUCAUUCCUACAACAAGUGCUACUAAAAAGAAGACUUCUCCUAAAUGCAGUGGGGCAAAAAAGAGUGGAAGUUCUCCAAGAGGUAUUGUGUUCAAUGUUUCUUCAUGCUUUCUUGUAAGUUUUGUAUUACUGAUGCGUGACCAUUGUUUAUGUAGUAGUGAAACAAAGAGCGGAUUGGAAUCCAGGUCUUGAGAGGUCUCUUGUUGACAUUCUCCAUGAAUUUAAAGAAAGUGGAUAUAGAGGUGACAAUGGUUGGAACUCCGAAGGGUGGAAUAGAAUGGUCAAGGAGUUUCAUGUGAGGAACAAGUAUGUCUCCUUUACAAAGUCUCAAAUUCAGGAUAAAGAAGGUCAGCUGAAGAGAGACUACAAGAUGCUCAAAGCAGCAAAGCAACAGAGUGGGUCCACCUGGAAUGAGAAAAGGAAUAUGGUUGAAGGACCACCAGCUUUGUGGGAGAAUCUCAUGGUGGUAAGUUGAUUUAUUGAAAUUCAAUUAUUAAAUUAGUUAUGUAGGAUAACCUUAUAAUGAUAAUCUCGUAUUUGAUCAAUGUUUUUUUAAUUGUGCAGACAUUUCCUAAAAUCAAGAAGUUUAACAACAACAAGGCAACCUUCCCGCUCUUUGAUGCUUUGGGAGAGCUUUAUGAUGGUAAGUUUCCAAACAUCGUACUGAAAUAUAUAAUAUACUGAAAUAUAUAAUAUAUAUUUCUUUGUCAUUGUGUAGGACACUUGGCUGAAGGGACUUGGAAUUGCACUUCUCUUGAGGCACCGCAAGAGGAAGAACUGAAUGAGCAACUUCAGGAUGCAGAAGAUGGACCACAAGGAUUUGAUCUGAAUGUUGUUCAUGAUGUAGAUGAUGAAGUUGAUGAUGCACUCGCUGAAAGGAAUGAAGAUAUGCUUCAAGGAAGGACUAAUACUCUGUCACGAGAUGAAGAAAGUGGACAGCGAAGACCUGCUGCGUCAAGAAACAAGCAAGAAAAGGAACCAAAGAAGCCUAGAAAGACUGACAACAUAGAAAAUAUGAUGAACAAAUACCUAGAAAUGAGGAGCAAGCAAGUAGAAGAUGAAGCUGCAAGAGAAAAGGAAGCAAGAGAAAAGGAGACAAGAGAAAAGGAGGCAGCUCAAAGUGAAGAUUUCUCCAUCAAAAGGUGCAUAUCAGUUCUGAACACAAUGGAAGAAGUGACCAAAAUGGAGAAGGCAAAAGCAUAUUCAGUCUUCACCAAGAGCAAAGAGAAUAGAGAGACUUUCAUAUGUGCAUGUGAAGCGGAUCAAGAAUCAGCUUUGAUUUGGCUAAGAAAUGAGAUGGCUUAGUAGGUAUGAUAUUUGUGUCUUUACCUUCCACUCAACCAUAUUCACUUGGGCCUUUAUAUUCCAAUCUAAUUGUUCCAUUUGUUUGGACAGGUUUGGGUAAUCAAUCGGUGAUGCUUCCCCUUUGAGAACUUUCGGUAUGAGCCAGGAUAUUAGUGUGGCUUUAAUUAGUGCUUUUUGUCCUGAUCACUGAGAUUUCAGUCCAGUGUUAACUUCCGAUGAUUAUCUGUGCUCUCUAGCUGGUUCAUCCAGUUAUAUUGUAUAAAGAAAUUACUUCAUCUUAUAAUUAGGUUUGCAUAGGAAAGCAAUUAUUCUAUGCUUGCCAUAGAUCAACGAUAAGCAGACUGUGAUUUGGUACGUCAGCUGUUGGAAUGGAUGGCU